ACAAGGGAAAUACAGUUCAAGUUUUGGCAAUCAGGCGCCCACCUGGAUAACAAGGGAAUAUAGUUCAAGUUUUGGCAAUCACGCGCCCAUUUGGAGAACAAGGGAAUACAGUUCAAGUUUUGGCAAUCAGGUGCCCACCUGGAGAACAAGGGAAUAUAGUUCAAGUUUUGGCAAUCAGGCUCCCACCAGGAGAACAAGGGAAUACAGUUCAAGUUUUGACAAUCAGGCGCCCACCUGGAAAACAAGGGAAUACAGUUCUAGUUUCGGCAAUCAGGCACCCACCUGGAUAACAAGGGAAUACAAUUCAAGUUUUUGCAAUCAAGCGCCCACCUGGAGAACUAGGGAAUACAGUUUAAGAUUUGGCAAUCAAGCGCCCACCUGGAGAACAAAGGAAUACUGUUCAAGUUUGGCAAUCACGCGUCCACCUGGAGAACAAGGG
rnacentral:lncRNA from 1 species